UCGGCUCAGAAGCAGCCAUCCUUUAAAGAAAGCGUAACAGCUCACUAGCCGUAGAAUUUAUGCGCCGAAAAUUAACGAGGCUCAAAUGUUUAACCGAAGCUUAGGAUUUGAUCUAGUUUACUAGAUUGAGUGGUAAGGGAGCGUUCUGUGUGCUAUGAAGGUGACCCGUAAGGAGUUGCUGGAGCGAUCAGAAGUGAGAAUGCUGGCAUAAGUAGCGUCAUUGAAGUGAGAAUCUUCGACUCCGAAUGUCCAAGGUUUCCGCACCCACGUUCGUCGUGUGCGGGUUAGGCGACCCUAAGGCGAGCCUCCGUCUCAGACGGAGGGUACCCGAUGGAUUACUGGUUAAUAUUCCAGUCCUUGAUAAAAGACAUUAUUACUUGGGGAGGGACGAUGAUGGAUAGGGGCAGUGUCAAAGUGAAUUUGACAUUCAAGCAGUGAGACAGUCUUGGCAGGCAAAUCCACCAAGGCGUUUAUUCAAGCUGUAACAAGUCUUUGUUCCUGCGGGAGCAUUGAUUGCCUUGACUUCAUUAUCCUGGAAAAGCUUCGCAAGGAGCCUUUUAUCAAAUCGUACCGAUAACCGACACAGGUGGACAGGUCGAGUAGACCAAGGAGAGCGAGAGAAAGUAGUUUAAGGAAUUCGGCAAAAUAGCUGGGCGUAACUUUGGGAGAUGCCCUUCUCUUUCGGGUGUUAAAGCCUGAGAGAGGCACAGCAAAAGACGUAGGGUUGACUGUUUACCAAAAACACAGGUCCGUGCAAACCCGCAAGGGGAAGUAUACGGGCUGAAACCUGCCCAGUGCUGGAAGGUUAAUUGCGAGAGUGCUAGCGUAAGUUAGCGCUUUCAAUCGAAGCCCCAGUGAACGGCAGCAGUAACUAUAACUGUUCUAAGGUAGCGAAGUUCCUUGUCACUUAAUUGGUGACGUGCAUGAACGGCUCAACAAGCCCUACACUGUCUUGAACUACUACUCGGCGAAAUUGAGAUGGCCGUGAAGACGCGGCCUACUAACAUCUGGACAAGAAGACCCCAUGAAGCUUUACUACAACUUGGCACUGGUCUUAUAUAUGGAAUUGUUUAGGAUAGGUGGGAGUUCCUUCAUUUAUUGAUGGGACGUCAGUGAAAUACCACUCGUUUUAUAUGUAAGACCUCACUUAGCUUAGAUGCAAACUCUAAGAAGGACACUGUCUGGCGGGUAGUUUAACUGGGGAGGUUGCUUGCUAAAGUGUAACGCAAGCGCGCAAUGGUACUCUUAGCUUGGAUGGAAAUCAAGCUGUACGUGCAAUAGCAUAUGAGUGCUUAACUGUGAGGCAUACAGGCCGAGCAGAUGCGAAAGCAGGUUAUAGUGAUCCUCGUGCACUUUGUGGAAGGUGCCGGGCUUAUCGGAUAAAAGCUACUCUGGGGAUAACAGAGUCAUCGCGCCUAAGCGUCCCUAGCGUCGGCGCGGUUUGCUACCUCGAUGUCGGCUCAUCGCAUCCUGGGGGUGAAGAAGCUCCCAAGGGUUUGUCUGUUCGCCAAUUAAAGCGGUACGCGAGCUGGGUUCAGACCGUCGUGAGACAGGUCGGCCUCUAUCCGAUGUUAGCGUUAGAAAGUUGAGAGAACUUGUCUCUAGUACGAGAGGACCGAGAUGAGGAAAUCCCUAGUGUUCCUGUUGUUGCUGUCAAGCGCACCGCAGGGUAGCUACAUUUCUUUUGGAUAACCGCUGAAAGCAUAUAAGCGGGAAACCAUGCUCAAGAUUAACUUUCUCCAUUAGACCCGUGGGAGACUACCACGUUGAUAGGCUGCCGGUGCAAGCAUGGUGACAUGUUUAGCCUAGCAGUACUAAGUGUCGAUCGAACAAAAU
rnacentral:rRNA from 1 species